CCUACGGGAGGCAGCAGUGGGGAAUUUUGGGCAAUGGGCGAAAGCCUGAUCCAGCAAUGCCGCGUGAGUGAAGAAGGCCUUCGGGUUGUAAAGCUCUUUUGUCAGGGAAGAAACGGUGAGAGCUAAUAUCUCUUGCUAAUGACGGUACCUGAAGAAUAAGCACCGGCUAACUACGUGCCAGCAGCCGCGGUAAUACGUAGGGUGCAAGCGUUAAUCGGAAUUACUGGGCGUAAAGCGUGCGCAGGCGGUUUUGUAAGUCUGUCGUGAAAUCCCCGGGCUCAACCUGGGAAUUGCGAUGGAGACUGCAAGGCUAGAAUCUGGCAGAGGGGGGUAGAAUUCCACGUGUAGCAGUGAAAUGCGUAGAGAUGUGGAGGAACACCGAUGGCGAAGGCAGCCCCCUGGGUCAAGAUUGACGCUCAUGCACGAAAGCGUGGGGAGCAAAACGAGGAUUAGACUACCCGUGGUACGUCCACGCCCUAAACGAUGUACUACUAGUUGUUCGGGUUUUAAUUACUUGGUAACGCAGCUAACGCGUGAAGUACGACCGCCGUGGGGGUACGGGUACGGUCGGUAACGUAAGUAAAGUUAAACGUUAAACGUAAAGUUAAAGUUAGGUACGGCGNGAGACGCGACGACGGACGACGACGGAGGAGGAGG
rnacentral:rRNA from 1 species